UUUGAUUCCUGGCUCAGGACGAACGCUGGCGGCGUGCUUAACACAUGCAAGUCGAACGAUGAAGCCCUUCGGGGUGGAUUAGUGGCGAACGGGUGAGUAACACGUGGGCAAUCUGCCCUUCACUCUGGGACAAGCCCUGGAAACGGGGUCUAAUACCGGAUAACACUUCCUGCCGCAUGGUGGGGGGUUAAAAGCUCCGGCGGUGAAGGAUGAGCCCGCGGCCUAUCAGCUUGUUGGUGGGGUGAUGGCCUACCAAGGCGACGACGGGUAGCCGGCCUGAGAGGGCGACCGGCCACACUGGGACUGAGACACGGCCCAGACUCCUACGGGAGGCAGCAGUGGGGAAUAUUGCACAAUGGGCGAAAGCCUGAUGCAGCGACGCCGCGUGAGGGAUGACGGCCUUCGGGUUGUAAACCUCUUUCAGCAGGGAAGAAGCGAAAGUGACGGUACCUGCAGAAGAAGCGCCGGCUAACUACGUGCCAGCAGCCGCGGUAAUACGUAGGGCGCAAGCGUUGUCCGGAAUUAUUGGGCGUAAAGAGCUCGUAGGCGGCUUGUCACGUCGGAUGUGAAAGCCCGGGGCUUAACCCCGGGUCUGCAUUCGAUACGGGCUAGCUAGAGUGUGGUAGGGGAGAUCGGAAUUCCUGGUGUAGCGGUGAAAUGCGCAGAUAUCAGGAGGAACACCGGUGGCGAAGGCGGAUCUCUGGGCCAUUACUGACGCUGAGGAGCGAAAGCGUGGGGAGCGAACAGGAUUAGAUACCCUGGUAGUCCACGCCGUAAACGUUGGGAACUAGGUGUUGGCGACAUUCCACGUCGUCGGUG
rnacentral:rRNA from 1 species